rnacentral:rRNA from 1 species
UACGUAGGGGCCUAGCGUUGUCCGGAUUUAUUGGGCGUAAAGAGCGUGUAGGCGGCCAGGUAGGUCUGCUGUGAAAACUCGAGGCUUAACCUCGAGAUGUCAUCGGAAACCAUUUGGCUAGAGUCCGGAAGAGGAGAGUGGAAUCCGUGGUGUAGCGGUGAAAUGCGCAGAUAUCAGGAGGAACACCGGUGGCGAAGGCGGGUCUCUGGGCCGGAUACUGACGCUGAGGAGCGAAAGCGUGGGGAGCGAACAGG